rnacentral:rRNA from 1 species
AGCAUAUCAAUAAGCGGAGGAAAAGAAACUAACAAGGAUUCCCCUAGUAACGGCGAGUGAAGCGGGAUGAGCUCAAAUUUAAAAUCUGGCUGGUUUACUAGUCCGAGUUGUAGUUUAAAGAAGCGUUUUCGGUGGCAGUUUCGGUAUAAAUCCUUUGGAAUAGGGUAUCAUAGAGGGUGAGAAUCCCGUCUUUGACUGAGAAUAUGCUACUAUGUGAUACGUUUUCAAAGAGUCGAGUUGUUUGGGAAUGCAGCUCAAAAUGGGUGGUAAAUUUCAUCUAAAGCUAAAUAUUGGCGAGAGACCGAUAGCGAACAAGUACCGUGAGGGAAAGAUGAAAAGAACUUUGAAAAGAGAGUUAAACAGUGCGUGAAAUUGUUGAAAGGGAAACGCUUGAAACCAGUCAUGCGGUUGGGAAAUCAGUCUCUGACGGGGGGGAAUGGGGGAGGUGUGGACCGCAAGGCCGCUCUUUUUCAUAUCUUUCUCGGCAGGGAUGCACUUUUUCUUCUGCAGGUCAACAUCAGUUUGCUUUGCCGGACAAAACUCUUGGGAAGGUGACAGCUUAGGCUGUGUUAUAGCCCUUGAGCGAUACGGUGGAGCGGACUGAGGUUUUCGCAGCAUGUGCUCUCGGGCAAGGCUGAUUGGGUGCUAUGAGAUCGUUCAGGGUACAAUACAUGUAUUUUGCCUUGUGUCUUUUUUAUACUCGCUCAACUCGGCUCUUCCAUGCUUAGGAUGUUGACAUAAUGGUUUUAAUCGACCCGU